UACGUAGGGUGCAAGCGUUAAUCGGAAUUACUGGGCGUAAAGCGUGCGCAGGCGGUUGUGCAAGACAGAUGUGAAAUCCCCGGGCUCAACCUGGGAACUGCAUUUGUGACUGCACAGCUUGAGUGCGGCAGAGGGGGAUGGAAUUCCGCGUGUAGCAGUGAAAUGCGUAGAUAUGCGGAGGAACACCGAUGGCGAAGGCAAUCCCCUGGGCCUGCACUGACGCUCAUGCACGAAAGCGUGGGGAGCAAACAGG
rnacentral:rRNA from 1 species